rnacentral:rRNA from 1 species
AUGGACUCGCCGGCGAUCCCUGACGAGCUCCUGGUGGAAAUAUUCCUCCGCAUUCCCGCCCCUGCCGGCCUCCUCCGCGCCUCCGCCGCCUGCCCGCCUCACCCCUCCGCGUCAGCGGCCAGCGCCGUCGCCCUCGCCGCCGACUUCUCCUUCGCCUUCCUCCCCGGCCUCGCCUGCGACUAUCGGGUCCAGGACGUCUGCGGUGGCCGCGUCCUCCUCAGCAGACGCCCCUUCGACGAUCGUUCUUUGGUGGUGUGCGACCCCUUGCACCGGCGGUACCUCAUGCUUCCUCCAAUCUCUGACGCCUUAGCGGAUUCGGUGGAGAACAGGCUCGAGCUAUGGCCAGAGAGAUGGCGCAACACCUUCCUCGUCCCUCCUGGCAGCGACAAUGACGAGGCUGCGGCUGCGGAAGGGAUGUCGUUUAGAGUCAUCUGGAUGGCGCAGUGCGGAUAUAAGAAGAUGUUUACCUUUGUCUUCUCUUCCGACACUGGACAGUGGCGAGUUGUUCCAUCUCAGAGUUGGAAUGAUUUGCCUCUUGGCUCCUUAGGGCCAACCGGGAUAAGUACCUUUAACCAUCGUCAGUAUGCCCAUGGCCGCUUUUACUGGAUAAUGAAGUUGGAGGACGGAAUGAAAAUGUUGGUGCUCGACACCGCGAGGUUGGAAUUCUCCAUUCUUGAACCGCCACCCGAAGCCAAAGGUACACACAUUCCUAAUAUGACCAUGGUGGAGACAGGGGAAGGCAUGACUGGGUUAUUUAUGCUUGCAUGUGGCACAUCUAAGCUUCGUUAUAGCAUUAGGCGAUACAAUAGUGGAAGUUCCAGUCAGUGGCAGAACGAGAAGACAAUCUCCCUGGUUUCUAGGUACUCGUUAAUAAGUUCAUUGGAGAGCAGCUUGUUCCUGUACGACGAUGGAAGCUCAUCGCUCCAUCCGGGGUUUUUCACGCUUGACAUCGAAACAUUCCAGCUUGAGAAGGUGUGCACUCUUGACAUCUCCGACCCACACCCAUAUAGCAACUUCCCACCAUCGUUGUCGUCACCGACAAUAUAA